GUGAGAGAGUCUCAGGUCUAGACUGAGGAUGAGUGGAGAUGUUGACAGUUCUACAGACUCUUAUUGAGAGGUGAGAGAGUCUCAGGUCUAGACUGAGGAUGAGUGGAGAUGUUGACAGUUCUACAGACUCUUAUUGGGAGGUGAGAGAGUCUCAGGUCUAGACUGAGGAUGAGUGGAGAUGUUGACAGUUCUACAGACUCUUAUUGAGAGGUGAGAGAGUCUCAGGUCUAGACUGAGGAUGAGUGGAGAUGUUGACAGUUCUACAGACUCUUAUUGAGAGGUGAGAGAGUCUCAGGUCUAGACUGAGGAUGAGUGGAGAUGUUGACAGUUCUACAGACUCUUA